rnacentral:rRNA from 1 species
UGCGUAGGUGGUUGUUUAAGUCCGUUGUGAAAGCCCUGGGCUCAACCUGGGAAUUGCAGUGGAUACUGGGCAACUAGAGUGUGAUAGAGGGUGGCGGAAUUCCCGGUGUAGCAGUGAAAUGCGUAGAUAUCGGGAGGAACAUCCGUGGCGAAGGCGGCCACCUGGGCCUGCACUGACGCUCAUGCACGAAAGCGUGGGGAGCAAACAGGAUUAGAUACCCGCGUA